rnacentral:tRNA from 1 species
UAGCUCAAUUGGUAGAGUGCUUGCCUUGCAUGCAUAAGGCCCUGGGUUCAACCCCCAG